CAGUCCUUGGAAAGUCUCUCCCUGUGCUGUCAUAUAUAUGAAAGAGGAUGUCUGAAAAAUGUAGAUAACAUGACGCAAGAAAAAUCUAUUAACAUUAAAAAAUGGCACAUUUGCAGUUCUUAACAAUUCUGUCUCAGUAAUUUAUUAUUGUUGUUGUUGUUAUUAUUAUUAUUAUUAAUGGAAGAUAGCUGUAUCAAUAAGUGUAACUAAAAUCUCCAGGUAAGAAGAAUAAAAACAUAUUUUCACUCUUUUUACAGGUGUGAUUGUAAAGUUCUACUGGUCAUCCCUCUGAAAUCACAAGUUCCAUAUACAUUCCUUACCUGGAGGCAAAGAGGAUGUGCACAUUCACACUUGAGUCCCAUUGACCUUCAGUGAGCUUUGGGCUUCUAAUCACCUUUGAGAAAAGAAUCCUACCUUUGCUGAAUAUCAUAUACUCC
rnacentral:lncRNA from 1 species